rnacentral:tRNA from 1 species
GCCAAGUUACUCAAGUGGCAACGUGGGCAGUCUGUAAAACUGCUGGCUUUAGCCUUCCCAGGUUCGAAUCCUGGACUUGGCACAA